GGCAGUGGUAGCUCAGUGGUUAAGGCAGUGGACUCCACAUCAGAGGGUCGUAAGUUCAAACCCCAGCACUACCA